GAGGAGAUGACUCAAUGGUUAAGAGCACUGGUUGCCCUUGCAGAGGACCUGGGUUCAAUUCCCAGUACCCACA
rfam:Neotoma lepida isolate 417 scaffold_2929, whole genome shotgun sequence.